UCUCCACCCCAUGCGCUAAUAUCCUAAUCCUGCUGUGCCAAUAAUUUUUGCCAUCCAUCGGCCGACGAGGAGGCAGAAAUUGAAUCGAUGAGGAAUCCAUCACACAAAUGGGCAUACAUUAGGAUCAUCACUGGAACAAUCGUCGGGGGCAUUCUUGGGUUCUACGUUAUGCAUCGCCUCGAAGCUAAUUAUAAGGAGAGAAUGAAUGAAAGACUGAGAAACUAUGAAGCCGAAUUGCAGAGGAAGAAGCAAGAGAGACUGAAUGAGUUUAAAGAAGAAUCGUCUUAGCCUUCCGAUUGAAUGCCACGCCUCUUCUUCGGGCCCCUGUUAGAAUUUUUCCCUAAUACUUUCAGCAAAAUCACCUCCAAGAGAAGACCUCAAGGCAGUGCGAUACACCCUUUUCAUUACAUCCCGGAGCUGAAUUGUUACUGCAGCUCAGUGUUUGAUCCAAAGGAUGGGUUAUGAUGGUAUUCGAACUAAAAGCUGCUUCAAGUCUUUGACUGUGCCUCAGACACCCAGGUUUAGAACUGCAUAAUCAAUGGACUUGUUUAAGAUUCUCGUCUUUGAUAACUCUUGUGAUGCUCAAAGUCUCAAAGAUAUUACAUUUCAUAAUGUAUCUGACAAUGUCAUUUAUUUUUCAAUAAACAUAGAACAAUGUAUAUAGUGUAUGUGGUGCAUUACUUGUACAUCCAAAUGCACGAUGAAGAGGGCCUGUCUUUAAGGUCAAAGUACUACAUCUGUUGAGACAUAUCUUCACUUUAAUGCUUGAUGUGGAUGAUAAAGCAAUUUAUACAA